UACGUAGGGUGCAAGCGUUAAUCGGAAUUACUGGGCGUAAAGCGUGCGCAGGCGGCUAUGCAAGACAGAUGUGAAAUCCCCGGGCCCAACCUGGGAAUUGCGAUGGAGACUGCAAGGCUAGAAUCUGGCAGAGGGGGGUAGAAUUCCACGUGUAGCAGUGAAAUGCGUAGAGAUGUGGAGGAACACCGAUGGCGAAGGCAGCCCCCUGGGUCAAGAUUGACGCUCAUGCACGAAAGCGUGGGGAGCAAACAGG
rnacentral:rRNA from 1 species